rnacentral:lncRNA from 1 species
UAUAUUGGCCUUUGCUUUGAUUUAUACAGACUUGUAGGUUUCCCUGUGAAUCUGGGAGCAGGAUGAAGUUUUUCUGUAAUAAGCAAGAAUUUUGAAAAUUGGAAUGGGAAAAGGGUGUUUUACUGAAAACAGAAGCAUCAUCCUUCUCUGUUGGUAAUUUUCAGCUUGAUUUGGUUUGUAGUGCUGCAGAAAGUGCUUUUGAUUUCUCUAGAACAGUGUUUCUCAACCUCAGCUAGUUGUGGGAGCAGCCCUGUGCACUGGACAAUGUUUAGCAGCAUCAUUGGCCUCAACGCACAAGAUGCCUGUAGCAUGCCCUCAGUUGUGACAAACAAAAAUGUCUCCACACAUUGCCAAAUGUCCCUGGUGUGGGUGGUCGUGAUAAAAUAACGUCUGGUUGAGAACUGCUGUUCUAGAAUCAUGCACUGAUACAUCCCAAAUACCCACUCCCUGGGAGACUCAGCAAGAGGUGGCAGUGGGUAUUCAGUUGUACACAGCAAUGGAGUAUGUAGAAAUCUAGAAAUUCGUUCACUCACUCAUGAGACAUUUAUUUUCCAGAAAGGUGUUUGGCAUCAGAAAAAUGUGGCAAUAGGAAGCAGGGUUCCUUCCAGCUGCAGGGUGGGAUUCAGUGGGAGGAAUUCAGCCCCUUGCGGGCAGAGGUGGAGUGAAGAAAGGGCCUGGCAAGCAACGAGGCUCACUAGGACUGAGACACCAGCAGUUUUGGUCACAAAAGGAGGUGGAAGCCAAAUUCCCAGCCUGAGAUGGGAAUGAAAGCAGAAAUGCAGUUGACUAGACAUUGUGGAGCCUGCACCAGAGAACUAAAGCUCCUUAAAUUCCUCCUGACAGGGAACAGGAUUGUCCUCAGAGCCUAGGGCAGCCCUCAGCUUGCUGGUGGAAGGAAUGGGGACUUGGAUAAGGAGUUGGAAGAGUGGGUGGCUAGAGAGCCCCUGCAAGGCACUGCCCACUCAGUAGUGAUACUUACUGUGAAGGGCCGUGGGUCUAGACUGAGGCAUUUACACUUGGUUCUGGAAGAAGGAAAGAAGCCAAACCAGUUUUCCUAUAGGAAAGAUCUCUAGAAGUGGAUCAAAGAAUGUACACUUUUUGAAUUUCGAUGGGUAGUACUCAGUUGCCUUUCUAAAUGCCAGUAUAAUGAUCAAUGGAUUGGAUAUUAUUUUGGCAUUUUAUAGUGCUUGAAUAAUAAGUUUAUUAUUUUAAAUGUUUGUAGUGCCGCCGAAGGUUUAUAAAGGUUUAUGGCUGUCGCAGUUUUGCUUUCAUGACCUGUUGUUGAUCGUAUCUUUGAUUUAUGUGAGGCCUAGACAGGAACAGAAUCCCUAAUCAUGAAAUUUUUCCUAUGGGAAAAUACAUCUUGCUUUAUGACAAUCUACUUUAUGACGUGCUUUCCAGAAAUAAUGUGUGGCAAAAUGUAGAGGUCAUCUAUAAAGUUUCUGUUUGUUUUAUCUGUUGUGAAUUUCCAUGAUUUUUGUCCCCCUUUGAUGGCUAAUUUAUUUUCCAUCCUGUAUUAGAGAUACAUAUUUAAUAAAAUUUAAAAUAUUCUUUUUUAAAAAUGCAUGAAGCACAAGGAAGGUGAAUGGGUGAUUAACAAGAUAGUGAUUCAGAUUGAAUAUUAAAUGUAUCUCAUUUCAUGAAACAAAUGCAUUCAAUUAGGUUGAAUGAUAUGAAAUUUUGAUUUUUCUAGGUCAAAAACAGUCAAAUAUCAGCAAUUUUAUAUGGCUCAGUGUAAUAGUAAUGUUGGCUAUAAAGAAAAUUUUUGUGAAAUGAAUAUUCUGUUUUUUAUUGCUUUCUUAAAAAUUUUGAGGUUCAUUUCCCUGAAGACAGAGUUGAAAACUUUGGCUGUGUAUCAUGCUGGGCAUGGCUGGAAUUCAACAAAUUAUUCUUGCUUUGAAUGAUUGUUUCCAUUGGAACAAGAGUUCCCAACGAACCCUGGCUGCUCAUAGAAUCACUGGGGAAACUUUAAAAGAUAUAAUCCAUGGCUCCACACAGAUAAAUCAGUACAUUGGAUAUGGUAUGCAGUGGGGCAGGGCUCAGGCCUCAGUAUUUUUUUGUUCCCCACGUGACUCUAAGGUGCAGCCAGUUUGAGAACCACUGCACUAGAAUUUCAUUUUAAGGAGUCUCAAUGGAGCUUUUGUAUACCUUAGAAAAACACAAUGCCUUUGUUCCUCACCUACUUCUCUAUCUUGCUUUGGACCAAUAAGGUCUAAAGAUGAAAUGUGAAAAAAAUAUAUUUAACUCGAUCAACCCCCUGCUUUGGUUUUCAUUCAACAGAACAUUUAUUGGGUACCUACUAUGUGCCUGGUCCUAGGGCUGGGGACUUUGAUGAAACAGAUGAAUGCUGAGUUAAAGAAGAAUUAUGCCUCUUAAAGAAGCCAGGGAUUAUAUGAAAUGUCCCAAACAGGCAAAUCUGUAGCGAUGGAAGGUAGAUUAGUGGUGGUUGCUUAGGGCUAGUGAGGAUGGGAAAGUAGGGAGUGACUUUAAAUGGGUAUGAGACUUAACUUGGAGGUGAAAAAAGGACCUAAAAUUGAUUGUGGUGUAACUAUAUUAAAAACUAUUGACUUGUGUACUUUAAAUGAAUGAAUUGUAUGGAAUGUGAAUUAUAUCUCAAUAAAGCUGCUGUUAAAAAAAAAAAAAAAGCCAAGGGUUCCUUUUGGCAUGAGGACUUCACACUGAAUAAGUAAAUUAGGAACAGCAGAGAAGAAACUCAGUACUAUACACCCAUUCCUUUCAAAACUAAUAGACAAUAAAAUGGGGACAAUAACUGAGGGCAAAAUAAAGUAAAUCCUGGUUGGAGAUGUUUAGUUACCACCUGUAUUCCAAAUAGCACCUGAGUGUUCAGAGGGUGGAUGGGCUGGGAGCCGUAGGUGAGAAAAAGACAAGAACCUUCAUAGAAUGUACUGUAUGCCAGGCACUAUGCUAAGUGCUCUUUGUAUGUAUUCAUUCAUUCAAUUAUCACACAGUUAUCUCCAUUUUACUAUUUUGAAAUGGAAGCACAGAGAAGUAACUGCCCUAAGGUCAUAUAGCUAGUUAAGCAGUGACAUUAAGACUGCCUUAAAGAGUGGAAGUAUUCUAAUAGCAAUGUGACGAUGCGGGAAUGGGAGUGGCAGUGGGCAGGGAAGCUUGGGCUUGUUGAGGGGAUGGAUAGCUGUCACAAUGUGUUCAACUAGGGUAAUAAUGGAGGAGGGGGUAGAAGGGUGGACAGUGAGGGGUUACUGAGGAACUCCCUUGACCAUGCUAAGGAAACAAAAUGCAGCAGAUGGGCAUCGUUGAAGAUAAUUGAAUCAAAACAAGGCUUAAGAAGGCCAAGUUCAGUUUUCUAAAUGCACAGAUACAUGCAUGUCUCAAUGAGUGUCUCUCUGGGUCUGUUCCCUGGGUCUUACUAUGACCUGGGCUCUGGGGAGAAAUUACUAAAAGAGAAGUCACAAUGACCUAGGGAAAUUGAAAAGCCUCCAUAGGACCUGCCUUAGAACCUUACAUUCUUUGAAUGGUUGCAAAGUCGCAGCCGAAGGUGACUAGCCCAGAAUGCUCAGAACAUUUGGCAUCAAACCUGGACUAGAAGUCUGUUUUUCAGCUGUUCCCUGUCCACUCCCAGGACCUCUGCCUCCUGUCUUAUAGUGUAUCAUGGUCUCUACUGGAUAACAGAUAAGCAAGGUUGAGUCAUCUGAUAUGGUCAUCCCUGGAUGUGGACUUUCUCCUCCAAUCAUGAGCACAACAUAUAGAGCUCCCAUCCUCUCUCCUUCACUCUCAUCAAGUGAAUGGCUCAGCAAGGUUGGGACUCUUGUGGUGAGACCAGAAGAUCUUGAGAAGAGUGUGAGGAAUGAGCUUCCCAGUGAAUAAAAGGUGACCCGACUUUUGGGCCAUGAGUGACAGAACCCUCCAGCUGAAUGUGCAUUUGCUCCUGAAAAGGAACCCCAUCCAAAGUAGCUACAGAAGUGAUUUAAACAGAGAUGUGGCCCCAGCAAGUCCUUUUCUUCCAGCUCAGCAUCACAUUGACUGUCUUCUUUGACUCCUACCAGCUCUGCUGGGAGUGAGACUCAGUGACCCUUCCCUUCCCUAUAGCCUACCCAGCCCACAGAUUCAUGCCAAACACUCGUUGCACUGACUUCAUUUGUGCCGUCUUUGACAUUACUGGUAAUGUCCAUUAUAUGCAGAUGCCAAAGACCAGCUAACAUCAGUUCAAGGAAUAUUUCAGGAGUUCCACCUGUAUACAAUACAAUAUACCAUGAAUCACUAGAUCAUGGUGGGUAUAAAAGAGAGAAAAUCCUUGGAACACCCAUAAGCAGUUGAUCCCAGUGGGUUGGUUAGGCUGUAGUUAGUAUAUACACUGCUGUUGACACUGCCUUUAAUUAUGUGUAGUCACACCUGCAUUGUGUCCUUUAUGAGCUCUUAGAAAAUAAUGAAUGCACCCAAUUGUUUAGAGCUCCCACAAAGUGAAGGACAACAUUAUUUCAAAUUAUUGCAAGAAGCCCAGGGUAUCUGGAGACAGGGAAAGCUCUUAAGUCUACUUUUUAUACAAUAGAGCUUCAUACCAUUAUUCUGUAUAUAAUCUUUUCACCAAAACACUGUCGCCUGAUUGUUUCAACAAAAGACCUCUUUGUUUUGAUAGCCAAGAAAAACCUUAAGCUCAGUAGAGACAUGAGAGCAAGCUUUUUAAAUUACAAAAUGUAAGUGCUAAAACCAUAUUUUUGGAAUGUAAAUUGGAAGGUUUUUUAAAAAAAGUUU